AGUUACCUGGUGACUAACGAAAACAGAAAAGUGUAUCUGCCUAACAACAAAAUCGUUUGUACUUUAGAUAAUGAACAUAUUGUAGUCGAAGAAAAUGAUACACAUAAUGUUUCCAAACUUUAUAAAAAGUUUUUAGUUCUAAACUUAUCGAGCAUAGGAUUAAAAGACAUACAUAACAUCUACUCAAACAUUAUUGAGUUUUUAUUUAUGAAACAUAACUUUUGCGACGAACUGAUCAUCGAGUGCAACAACGUAAUCUCAUGUAUCCUAAAAACAUCCGAAGAAAUAAGUCAUAAAAGAAAAGAAAAUACAUUUUCCAUACAUACGAACAAACUAACUAAUGUAAUAAAUUAUUUGCUUUUAUACAAUAAGGAGUGUAGUAAUAAAAUAAACGAUAUCAUGCUAUGUUUUCAAAACGAUAUGUGUCGUAUUUAUUGCGAUGAUGUUAUGUAUUGUAAAGAAAAAAUAAAGUAUACAAAUAUUAUUAAAAAAAAUUUUAAUAAAUAUUUUUCCAAAUAUAUAGUAAAUAAUAAAAAAAAAAACUUAUUUUUGAAUUAUUAUGAAAAUAGAUACAUCAUAGAAAAUGAAAAGAAAUUUAGUGACACAAUUUACUACAACAGUAAUAAUGAUAGAUCAUUACAUCUAGACAUGAUAAAAAACUUAUUUAGUAAUAAAAAAAUUGAUAUAUUAUAUAAAUAUUUAAUAAAAAUAAUAAUAAAAAUAAAUUCAUAUUUACUAUUAAAAAGAAGUAAUAUUAUUUUUUUAAACAAACAAUAUACUUUAUUAAAAAAAAUCAUAGAAAUUUAUUGUUAUAUAAAAAAUUAUAAUGGUUUAUUUUUAACUAACAAUGAAAAAGAUAUUAAAAAAAAAAAUUAAAAAAGCAUAUAUAAAUACGAUAAAGUUGUUAUGUUCGUACAGAAAAAUGAAAGAAAAUGUAGAAAAAAAAAAAAAUAUAUCGGUUAUAUCCGAUUUAGGGGAUAGUAACAAUAUACAUACAACUAAUGAAAAAAAAAACACAUCAGUAUUACUUAACCCAGAAGAUAUUAUUGAUAGUAAUGUAAAUGAAAAAAAAACAGAAGAAGUGGAACAACUGUUAUUAGAAGAUAAAAGAAAUGUAUUUUUUACCAGUCUCGAUAUGAACAAUAAUAAAUUAUUAAAUUUAUAUGAUAACGUUAUGUAUAAUGGAUACUUACAUGGUUUGUAUGAUAACAUUUUUAAUAAGUUUUAUAUAAAUAUAAUGAAUAUUAUAAAACAUGAAAAUAUUUUUAUUGAAAAAAAAAUUGAUAAUUAUUUAGCUCCACUCUUACUAAAUUACAACCAUUUUUUGUUUUGUUGUAGUGAAGAUAAUAGUGAUAAUAUUAAUAAUUUUUACAGUAUUUGUUCCAAUACAUUUUAUAAAUCACAUUACUACAAAUAUAAACACCUAUUUAAACAUUGUUCUUUAACCUAUUUAGAUUUAUAUCAGUUUGACAACAAUACAGUUUUUUCCUUUAAUUUAGCAAUACCUAUAUAUAAUUUUAUAAAACAAAAAAUAACAACACCCUUUUUAUUAACUACUACUGAUGAAAACAUUUAUUUAGAUUAUUCUUUUAGUAAUUAUAAAAAAUUUUAUUUUAUUAAUCGCAUAACUGAUAUGUUAAACAAAAAAUUAAUUUUAAAAACGAGUGAAUAUGUUGAUUGUAUAGAUACAAGGUCUUAUGAUACUGGUUAUGACACAUACACUAGCACGUAUGAAAACAGUGCGUAUAGUAGUAAUACAGACACCUACGACAGUAAAACAUAUGCCACUAAUACAUGUUGCAGUAACAAUAACAGUUAUGACAAUAGCAGUAAUAGUUAUGACAGUAGCGGUAAUAGUUAUGACAGUAGCAGUAAUAGUUAUGACAGUAGCAGUAACACUCAUACACCUAUUACCAAAACAAAUGAGCAAAAAAAUAAAAUACAAGAUAACUUCACAAAGCCAAGUCCAAAUGCAAAUGAAAGAACCCACCUUUUGUACGAACUGCUUAAAAAAAAAGAAUUAUCUACGGAUGUAGAAAAAAAAAGAAAAUAUAAAGAACUUAUAAAAGAUAUGUUAAAUAAAUAUGCAUCUGAUAAGAACAAGAAUAAGGGUGAUGAUAAUGUAAAAAAUUCAAAAAAUGUAAAAAAUGUAGAAAGUGUAGAAAAUGUAGAAAGUGUAAAAAAUGUAGAAAGUGUAGAAAAUGUAAAAAAUUUAGAAAGUGUAGAAAAUGUAGAAAGUGUAAAAAAUGUAGAAAAUGUAGAAAGUGUAAAAAAUGUAGAAAGUGUAGAAAAUGUAAAAAAUGUAAAAAGUGAUAUAAAGAAAAAUAUACAAGAAAAACAGUUGUAUAUUAAAAACAAACUAAUAAUAUAUAAAAAAAAUAUACUAAAAAAAAAACACAAUCUAAAAAACAUAACCAAAGAAGAUUUUAUAUUUUUUAAACAAAAAAAUGUAAAUAACUAUAUGGGUUUUUUAAAAAUUUUGUAUUUAUAUAUGAAUAAAAAUAAUGAUGUAAAGUUUAUAAAUAAAACUUUUACAUACACAUAUAUUUUAAGACAAAUUAAAACAAUUAAUAUAUCUUUAGUCAACAAAAGUUUAAUUUUAAAAUACGAAAAUAUGUCUAAUGUACAUAAGUUUUUAAAUUAUAAAUUUGUUAACUUAAUUCAUAAUUAUAUUGUUUCUAUUAAUGAUUAUGUAAAAGAAAAAGAAUUAAUUUCUAGUGAGUAUGUAAAAUUAAGAGAGCUUUAUUCAGAACUUACACUGUUGAAAGAUGCAAAAAAAAAGGCGCUGAUAGACUCAGUGCUGGAUCUUAAACACUCGGACAACAUCAAAGCAUUGAUGGAAGAAACACUCUCCAUUUAUGACGAUAUAAAAUUAAAUAUAAAAAAAAAAAGACAAAAAUUAAUAGUAAAAUCUAUUAUGAUUGAAUAUUGUUCAUGUUUAACUGAAAAAGAAACAAACAACUUUUUUAAAUUAGUUUUAAAAAAAAAAAAAGAAUUCAAAGAUGUAUUUUAUAUGAAGAACACACAAGAAGGUGUUGAAAAAACGUAUAACAACGUGAGCAAACAAAAUGAGACAAUAACAAAAAAAAGUAAUGAAAAAAAAAAUGGAUAUACGAGUGGUAAUGUCGAUUCUGAUGAAGAUAUUGACAGUAUUAUCGAAUGUAGUGAUUGUGAAGAAUUUAGUGGAUACGAAGUAAUUGGAGCAGAUAAAACAGUCGGUAUGAGUAAAGUGAGCAAUACAAACUACAAACAUCUUAUAAGCAACAAAUUUAUAUACAAAUACAACCAUAUGAACAACUGCAACGAUGAUAUGAUAAUGUUUAAAUGUUACACAUUGGAUAAAUUAAAAAAUGUAAGUAUGGUUAUAUGUGUUGAUCCUUUUUAUCAAUUAAAAAAAUAUAUUUUAAAAAAAUUAAAAAAUAAAAAUAAAAAACAUAUAUAUAUAAAAUAUGAUAAAAUGUAUAAAAUAAUGUCUAUAUACCCUGAGGAAGUUCAGAGUGAAAAACAAAAAAAUGAUACAACACCACAUAAUAAUAAUGAUAAUAAUAAUAAUGAUAAUAAUGAUAAUAAUAAUAUGCCACAAAAAUCGAAUGCUUUUUUUGACAAAAUUAAACACUACAUAAACAAUGAUUAUUACUUCGUAUUUAAUAAUAUAGAAAAUAAAAUGUACCAGAAAAUAAACAAAGUAGUAAAUGGUUCUGUACAUACUAGAACAAGCACAAUAUACAUAUUUGUCGAAAAAUUAAAACAUAUAAAAUUUAAACACAUGUCGCAAAAACAUAAAAUUGUUUAUUGUGAUUAUAAAAAAGAAAACAUUAUUAAUGUGUUUUAUUAUUAUUACAAUAAAAUAUAUAACAAAAAUGUGAACUUACCGUUUGAAGCUGACGAGAAAGACGUCUAUCAUCAGCAGGUCAUUAAUGUCUUAAAUGCUGUGUUUAAUGGAGAAUCGAAUUUAGUAGAGGCAAAAGAAAAAGUAUUUGCUGCAAAAGAGGUUUACCAAAAAGAGAAAAAGGAAAAAAAGGAGAAAAUGGAAAAAAAGGAGAAAAUGGAAAAAAAGGAGAAAAUGGAAAAAAAGGAGAAAAUAGAAAAAAUGGAGAAAAAAGAAGUAUUAACAAAGAAUAGUACUACCAUAUACAACGAGAACAUACACUUGUUAUAUAUAUACAUAUUUUAUUUAUUAAAAGAACAAUUAAAGAUAGUAAAAAAAAAUUAUACUAUUUCUAAUUGGUUAUUUUUAAAAAUUGUAAAAAAGUAUUACCAAAUGUUUGAUGUAAGUAAAGACUAUUCUGAAAGUAAUUUGUUAAAUUUUUUUUAUUUUUAUAUUUUAUCUUUUAUAGAUAGUAAACAUAUUUUUGUUUUUAAUUUCAUAUUAAGCAUUUAUUUGGAUGUAUUUAUUUAUAAAUGUAUAAAGAUGAAGGAUGUUUUUUUAUUUUUUAAAAAUUACGACAAAAGGAAUGAGAAGAAUUUUUUUCAAAAUAUGCACUAUGAACAAGGUGAUGGAAAAACAAAAAAAGCGAAAAAUGAUAUAAGACAUGGUGAAAAAUAUAACAGUGAAAACGAUGGAAAAGACGACGGAAAAAACGACGAAACAGAAUUAACAAGUUUGUACGAUAAUAUCAAUAUUUUUACAGCUAAAAGAUGUUAUACAAAUUCAGAAAAACGAAUAGCAAUAGAAAAUGUUCCAAACAAAGUAGAAAAUAACAAUCAUACUAAUAUAAGUAAUGAUAAUAAUACACCAAAAAAUAAUAUAAAUUUAAAUAAACAAUUGGAUGAAAAUUAUAAUUCUGAAACGGAAAGUUGUAUGAGCGAAGCAUAUAAUAGUUCAUCGAUGUAUACGAACAGUAUUUGUGAAGAUGACCAUAUUAUAGUAAAUAACGAACUAGCGACAGAAGAAGAACAAGAACAAUGUUACGAUAACAAUAACAAUAAUAAAAAUAAAAGUUGUACAAUAUCUAUUGAUAAUUAUUCAACAUACAAAAAUGAAAACAAUGAAACAAUAAUUAAAGAAGUAAAUUAUCAAAAUAUGUUUAAUUAUAUUAAAAAUUGGACGAAAACAAAAGAAUUAAGUCAUUUUUUAAAAACAGAAAAAAAGUUAUUAUACAUAAAAAGAAAAACAUUUAAAGAUAAUAUUUGUAACAUAUAUUUAAAUAGUAUGAAUGAACAAGAUGAAAUAGUUAAGGAUAAUAAUAUCGAAAUAAAUUAUGAUCAUGUAGAUGAUACAAGUUAUAAAAAUAAAUUUACUGGUAAUAAUAAAAAUAAACCAAUAAAUUGUAUAGAUUAUUAUUUUGACGAUAUAAUGGAACUAAGUAAAUGCAAAAAUAAUAUUUACAAAAAUCUGAUUUUAAAUAUAUCUACAAAUAAAACAAAAUGGAAUGAUUAUUUGAAUAGUGAUGUUAUUAAUUAUGAUCAACAAAAAAAAACAGACAUACAACAUAUAGAUAUCCCACUAGCCAAAUUAAAUAAAGAAUCUUUUUAUUUUUAUAAAAUAGUGAUAGAUAACCUUUUAAAAAAAUCAAAUCUGGACGAUACGAUAAAUCAAUACAUAUCUUUUAAACUGAAAGAUUUUAUUUUUAUUAAUCAAUUUGUUAUGUAUCAUAAUUUUUACGUCUUUAUAAAUUAUAUUCUUGGAAUAGAAACUGGACCGACAAUUGGUCUUGAAAAUGUAGGUGCAACUACCGAUAUGGGUAAUGGUGGAACUAACGAUAUGGAUAAUGGUGGAACUANNNNNNNNNNUAAUGGUGGAACUAACGAUAUGGAUAAUGGUGGAACUACCGAUAUGGGUAAUGGUGGAACUACCGAUAUGGGUAAUGGUGCUACCACCAGUACGAGUGGGAAAGAUGUAAAAUGUAACAGAAUCAAGCAACAGAACCCAAACAAAAAAACAAACACAAAUGUCACAUCAUGCUAUAUGUUCGAAGACAUAAAAAACUAUAACUACUUUAAAAAUAUAUUAAAAAAAAAAGAUGAAAAAGUUAUUAUUUUGUUAAAUCAUAACAUAUAUAGUACAAUAUUAUUAAAAACUUUAUUACAACAUAAUAACGUUAUUUUAUUAAAUAUAGAACAUAUAAAAAAUAAUCAACAAAUAAAAGAAAACAGUAUAAUAUUAGUUGAUAUAAAAAAUAAUACAGAUAUAUUUUAUAUGUUAGAAGAAUUUAUUAAUAAUAAUAUUGCAAAAAUAUAUUUAUUUUUUUAUAUAAAUGUUAAUAAUAUAACAGAUAAUAUAUUAAAAAAAGGUACUAUUCUAAAUUUUGAUUUUAGUUAUGACUCCAAAGAAUAUUUUACAUUUUUACAAUUCAUAUUAAACUUAAAUAUAAUAAUAAAUAAAAAAUAUAUUAAUAUUUUUGAACAAAAUAUUAUCUAUUAUAAACAGAUCUUUUUUGCUAUGUUUUUUUAUGUUCUCCUAAACGAACAAAAACAAAGUGAAAACAUUUCUUUUAACUAUGACAUUAUUAACGAACUUUUUAUUUUAUUCGAAGUUUUUGGUAAUUUGAAUAUGGUAAAGGACAUACAAAAUAAUAAAAAAGAAGAUAAAAAAUCUGAGUUACAAAAAAUAACUAAGACUAAUUUGGUGGAUAAUGAAAAAAAAUGCAAAGACUUUUUUUUACAAUAUAUACAGAAAUUAAUCGAGUCCACACACAAUGACAAUUUUAUGUUACAAAAACAUAUGUUGUUAUCAUUUUUAUCUCAAUUUUUUAAUUUUAAAACGAGCAAAAAUUUAUUAUCUGAUAUAAAUCAUAUUUUACAAAUACCAACUACGAAUGUAACUAUUAACCAUUUGAUUAGACAUAUACAAACAAACUUCAAAUUAGUAUAUAAUAUACAACAACCAAAUAAAAUAACCCAGUUAUUCAAAAAUGCUUACCAAAUAAAAAUAUUAAACAAAUGUUUUAUUAAUAAACAACUUAUUAUAAACAAAUAUGAAAAAUUAAACAUAUUCAAAAUAAUAUUAUUAUUUUUUUAUGAAUUUUCUUCGUUUCGUUUUAUUAAGCCCUUUGUCAACGCUACGGCAAAAUGUAUGUACUUAAAAAAAAAAAAAAAAAAAAAAAAAAA
ensembl:lncRNA